UACGUAGGCAGCAAGCGUUGUUCGGAGUUACUGGGCGUAAAGCGCACGUAGGCGGAUCGUUAAGUCGGGGGUGAAAUCCUGGAGCUCAACUCCAGAACUGCCUUCGAUACUGGCGAUCUUGAGUCCGGAAGAGGUGAGUGGAACUCCUAGUGUAGAGGUGGAAUUCGUAGAUAUUAGGAAGAACACCAGUGGCGAAGGCGGCUCACUGGUCCGGUACUGACGCUGAGGUGCGAAAGCGUGGGGAGCAAACAGG
rnacentral:rRNA from 1 species